ensembl:snRNA U1 U1 spliceosomal RNA
AUAUUUACCUGGCAGGGGAGACACCAUGAUCACGAAGGUGGCUUUCCCAGGGCGAGGCUCAUCCAUUGCACUCCGGAUGGGCUGACCCCUGCGAUUUCCCCAGAUGUGGGAAACUCGACUGCAUAAUUUGUGGCAGUGGGGGACUGCAUUCGUGCUUUCCCCUG